ensembl:lncRNA
AUUUAUUCAUUGUUAUCUAUUAUUAUUUAGCUGUGGCAGUUAAUGUCCACAGCAACUUACAUUUUUAGCUGUCUGUUACUGCCUCUACUGUCUCGUUGUUUUUGUGACAAUGACAAAUAAAGUACUUUGAACUUUGAACUUUGAGACAGGUGAGAAUAGGCAGUGCCCUAUAGAUAUGAGUCAGGUGUGGAUUAGACAGGUAAACAGGUAGUGCCCUAUAGAUAUGAGUCAGGUGUGGAUUAGACAGGUAAACAGGUAGUGCCCUAUAGAUAUGAGUCAGGUGUGGAUUAGACAGGUGUACAGGUAGUGCCCUAUAGAUGUGAGUCAGGUGUGGAUUAGACAGGUAGUGGCCUAUAGAUAUGAGUCAGGUGUGGAUUAGACAGGUAGUGCCCUAUAGAUAUGAGUCAGGUGUGGAUUAGACAGGUAGUGCCCUAUAGAUAUGAGUCAGGUGUCAUAGUCUGGAUUAGACAGGUAGUGCCCUAUAGAUAUGAGUCAGGUGUGGAUUAGACAGGUAGUGCCCUAUAGAUAUGAGUCAGGUGUGGAUUAGACAUGUGAACAGGUAGUGCCCUAUAGAUAUGAGUCAGGUGUGGAUUAGACAUGUGAACAGGUAGUGCCCUAUAAAUAUGAG